rnacentral:rRNA from 1 species
AAGUUUCAACAACGGAUCUCUUGGCUCUCGCAUCGAUGAAGAACGCAGCGAAAUGCGAUAAGUAAUGUGAAUUGCAGAAUUCAGUGAAUCAUCGAAUCUUUGAACGCACCUUGCGCUCCUUGGUAUUCCUUGGAGCAUGCCUGUUUGAAUAUCAU